rnacentral:lncRNA from 1 species
GAAUAUCCUUCACCAGUUGCAAAUUUUGUCUUUUUCCUCUAGUAUUGCUUUUGAUAUGUAUUCUAUUUUUCUUUCCUUCAAGCAAUAAUGUGUUUUAGAUAUAUUUUCUGUCCAUUGUGGUUUUAAACCCUGUAUUUUCGCAGAAGCACCCUGGCAUUUUAUCAUCUUGUUUUGAUUUUUCACAUAAUCUUGAAGUUUGAAGUCCUGAUGUUGCUAAGCAUAGGUUUGGAACCUAAACUCUAAUCUCAAUGAUGCAUUUUAUAAAAAAUUACAACUUAAGGGUUCCUGUCAGGUUUUGAAAGAUGUCUAUAAUUCAUUGCUUCUCACUCCUAUUGUCAGUGACAUCUAUAUUUAAUUUCUCUUGUCAAUGAUGCACUAAAUACUGAUGUCAAAGAUGUCAAGAAGUCACUGUUUCUCACUGUUCCUUGUGCUCUACAUUCAUGAAGUGGAUAAGUGUCAUGUGUUAUUUCCUUGACUUUAUUCUGUCUUCCUGUGGGAACUGUUUUUUCUGGUGAGUCCAAUGACAAGCACUGCUUUUGUAAUUAUCAUUAUGUUUAUCUAAUAUAUUUUGCUGAAAUAUUUGGUUUUUGCAGAGGAAGAUUCAGAAGAUGAAGAGCCAUUCCCAUUGAUGAAUGCAGACAAUGGUAUUCCCCUUAUUCACUUGAUAUUGAUUCAGAGGAGCAUGUUGAUUGAACUUCAAAUGAAUAAUCUCUUUGAUUCUUUUAUUUUAAAGGAAAUGUUCAGCCUGUGGUUGAGAAUACCAAGCCUGCCAAGGCAAAGGCUAAUGUUUCAAAGCCUGAUUCUUCUGUGAAACAAAAGGCUAAGCCAGUAGAUCCAAAGAAGGAAAUCAAAGCUGAGGAUGAAUCUGAUGAUGAUGAGUCUGAUGAGCAAGAUUCUUCUGAUGAAGAAGGUGAUUCUGAUGAGGUAUCUCCAUUUUAUGAUGUGAUUAACUUGGAUGUAACACAUUGUCUACCCUUAUAUAGUGGAGAGGAACACAUUAGAUUCUUACAGCUAUGCUUUGCAUGCAUGAUAUUCUGAUUUGUUAAAUUACAAUCAGAUUCCAAAUUGUGUGCUGAGUACUCUACUUUUUUUAAUUGAUGGAUUAAUGGAGAGAUAUUUUCUAAUGUAACUUAAAAUCAGUAGGAUGAUGGUAAUUACUCUUUAUUUUUUUAACUGAUUGAAGUUAAUUCUGACAGGGCUGUCAAACUAGAUGAAAAAAUAGAUUUGUGCGAUUAAAAAAUGAGUAUGAAACUGAUACCAGUUGAAAUAUGUUUCUUCUGAAGAUUUUUUUUUUAAACUAAAUAUGUUUUGGCUGAGAUAAUGUAACAUUUUCAGUUGCAUGACAAAUAAACAUUAUGAUUUUACAACUAAAAUAAAGUAGUUCAUUAAGCUUCAUCUUGCAAGUUUUUUCUUUUGCUUAACUUUGUAGAAUUAUCUUUUCAUAAUGGUCUUCUUUGUCAUUUUGCUUUGUUUUGUUUUUUUCCAUCCCAAUCAACAUUACUAUAAGAUGGCAUUCUAAAAUAAGUUUAUGCUUUGUUUUGCAGGAAAUGUCUGAAGAUUCAGAGGAAGAAGGUGAUUCUGAGAGUGAAGAUGAGGAGACUCCGAAGAAGGUAUGAGAUUAGUAUUGUGGUUGAUUUUAUAUGAUUUUCAAACAAGAGUGAUUGCUUAUUUUUUGUUAUUUUAUUUAAAAAGGCUGAGAAAGGCAAGAAGAGACCCAAUGAGUCUGCAACAAAGACCCCUGUGCCCUCAAAGAAGAUAAAGUCAGUUACUCCUCAGAAGACAGGUGUAUUUUCUUAUACCCUCUCUGCUAAUCAUUUUCCAGAUGUCUAUAUUGUCUUCUAUUACUUUUGGCAUUAUGCAUGUAUCUGCAAUUCUGAAAACACAAUUCUGCUUUGUAGCAUUUUUCUUGUGAUAAAGGUUUUAGAUUUCUGAAUUUUCAUCUUCGCAACAUUGACCUGCAGUGACUGGAUAAUUUAAUUAUUGACAAAUAGUGGUUCCUUUUUGGUAAAUAUACAAUAUGUAGUUUUUCCACAUAUUACCGAUGUGUUUAUGUAUAUAUAUUAUUUUUUUUCCCCGGACCAGAUGGUAAGAAGGGAGGGCAUACUGCAACUCCUCAUCCAGCCAAGGGUGGUGGAAAAGCUGCUGCAAACGGCAGCAAUACUAAAGCACAGACCCCAAAAUCUGGUGGCCAGUUCGCUUGCAAAUCCUGUGAAAGGUGUGUUUAGGAAACUGUUAGAUGUUACUCUAUCUGCUAGAGGAGUCUUGAGUGUUGCUAACUAGUAACCUGUGAACAGGUCAUUCGCCUCAGAUGUUGCUCUGCAGUCUCACUCAAAGGCCAAGCAUGGUGGAAAGUAAAUACAGUUAAUUUUUUUUUUCAUGAGAGAACCAAGUUAGAAGAUUUUGUUAGGCAUGCCUUAGGAAGGGAGAGGUUUGUGAUAGUAAAGCUUGUUUUGCAAAUACUGGUAAUGGUUCUAAAAUUGGGUGGGUGUGUGCUCAUUUUGAAUUCUGUUUUAAUUUAUUGUUUCUCAUGAUCAUUAAUGUGUUGUGAUGUUGCAUGAUCUUUGAUGUUUUGUGAGUUUAGCCGGCUCUUAAUGUUUCAAACCGAACUGAAGAAGUGUGAUAUAUCAUAUUUAUUCCAUGAGAGCUAAAUUCACCAUGCAUAUAUCUCUUGGCAACUGCUUUAAACUUGAUGCACUGUAGCUUCAAAUAACCAAAGUCGGGAAGAACUAGCCUCGUCAAUGAACUCAAGCCUGCAACAAUGGGUGGCGGCAGCUGCAAAGCUAUAAACUCGGAACUCCGUGACCGAAGCUGGGAUACAAAUUUUGGAAAUCAAAAUUUAUUGUGCAAAGGAUUAAAUUGUUUUUUUUUUUUUAAAAAAAAAAAUUAUACGUAAUUUUAAUUUUUUUUAUUUUUUUAAAGUAAAAUUGAAUCGUUACAUUUUAAAUAAAAAGGUUGAUAAAAAAAUUAAUUAAAUUGAUUUUCUUUUUGAAAUUUCUAAUUCCAAAUAAGAGUUCGAUACAUAAAACCUUUUUUUUUCCUACUUUGGUGGCAAGGAAUGUUUCUCAAUUUCUCCAAAGAACAGAAAACAUUCAGGUAUGCCUCUUCUUCGCAGAUAAGAAUCUGAACUCAUCAUAACACAUAUUUGAAGAACAUUUAUUUAGGAAUUAUAGGUUAAUGUCUAUAAAAUUAUUCGUGUUGUAUUGGAAAAACAGUAAAAAAGAAAAUUAUAUAUAAAAUUUAUUAUCAUGAUAAGAGAAGGUGCAUUAUAAUCUUUGCUAGCCACUACUAAGAUUAGCCAGAAUAUAUAAACAACUCAAAUCAGACAAUGACUAAAUUAUAUUUUAGUCUUUAAAAUAUAAUUAAUAAUCGGUUUUUAUAUUUUAAAAUCGUAUACUUAUAUUCUUAUAUAAUCAGUUAUUUUCAUCUGCUAUAAUUUAAACAUUUUAAUUUUUUUAUAUUUUAUUUGGAAAAACAUUUGUGUCUUUCCAUUCAACUUUUAUUUAUAAUAUUUUAAUUUUUAAUAUUUUUUAUUCUUUAAUUUUUAUAAAUUAAAAUAUUUCGAUAUUUAUAAUUUCAAAACUUUCAUAAAAUACUUACAUUUCAGCUACUUUUAAGUGAUAUCAAGUAAAAUUUAAGUAGGUUGUAUGUUUUUAUAGAGUAUUUUAAAAAGAAAUUAUUUUUUUAGAAAAAAUUUAACCAUUUAUUAAUUUUGAACUAAUAUUUAUAAUAAUUGAAUGAAUUAUAAUUUUAAACGGAUUAAAUAUAGAGAGAUUUAAAUAUUUAAUUUUAAAAAUAUAAGGACUAAUUUGUCAAAUAUGCUAAAACUUAUAAACCAAAAUAUAGUUUAUACAAUAUAAAAUUCUCCACCUAUAUUUUGGAAAGAAUUUAAGUGUUUAUAAAGGUAUUUUAGAUAUUUAAAAUAUUUAUUUUCUUUUUGACCGGUUGACUAAUGGAAUUAUAAACGAAAAGAUCUCUAAUUUGGAUAAAUUGAUUAUAUAGGAAUUUAAGUGUUUGAUUUUAAAAAUAUAGAAAUUUAUUUGUUAAUCACGUUAAAAUUCAGAAAUUAAAGUAUAAUUUACCCUAAUAUUUUUUUUAAAUCAAAUAAUUUACUCUAAUAUAAAAUAUAAUUAUUAUCUUUUAAUUUUAGAGUCUAAAAAUAAACUAUUCUCUAAUAUUUCUGAUAGAUAAUAAAAAUAAUAAUAACAAAAAAGCAAUCCUUAUAGUUAGUUUUACUGUUAAAUUCAAGCAUCAUUGCUUUCAGGAAAAGAGACAACGCUCCUAAUCUAAUAAUCCUCUAAAAGAAAUUACAUCAUAUUAUAAUCACAACCUUCUUGGAUUACUCCUUUGUAAUGGCAAUCAAAUUCAGAUUCUUUCCCACCAUACCAAAAAUGUUGAAGAUUGUGAAAAUUUUCCUUUGUUUCGUGAUUGUAUCCAAAGUUAUGUUCAUCCCAAAAAUUGGGAAUAUACCACAGUGGCAGAUCCAAUAGCUUUUCUAGAACAUGACCAAAACAAUUUUCUUGAGUAGUCUCAAUCUCCCUAACAAGCUUUCAUGAUUUUUCAUUGAACUUCUUGGUUCUUUCCCAUUAAGACUUCUAGAGAAUCAAAUUUUUUACUCAAUCUGCUAUAAGUAGAAAUCAUUACAAUCCAUUAACCCACACCGAGGCAGCCCAAUAUAAGCAAAAAACAACAACAAUGCUUAAGGAGUAGAAGGAAAUUUUCAGUCUCUUUAGUGCUUAAUUCACAAGAUGGAUAACCAUGCAAAGAGUUGCAGGCAGAUCAUAUGUUAGUAUAACAAAAUAUGAGAAAUAAGGAUUCUAAAGAAGCUGUAUUUAAUUUUUUUAUGAAAUUAUAUAACCAAUGACUUAGCAUUAAUAAAUAUAGUUGAUGAUCUGAAAUUCAAAAAAUAGGGUUUUACAAUAAGUUCUGUAAAAUUGGAAAAAAUUUAGAUUCAGAGGAGAAUAUUUCUCUUUUUAUAUGUUUUCUUUUGUCUGCUAGUGACGUGUAACAGAAUGUAUGUCAUUGGACCACCUGUCCCUGUCACGUUGAUAUGGACGUACGAGGGAAUCAGAUCGCUGCCCCAUGCGUAACGACUCCUAAUUCUCCCCAGACACGCGUGCGAAUUGUCUCGCAAGACGAAUGGACUGAACUUCUUCCUGGUUCCGAGCUGGGCCGAUAGAUAAAGUUAAGACUAGGCCCUGGGGGAUCUGUUCAUUGGGCCGAAAGAGCUGAGCCGGCCUGAUUGAAGAAUCUGAUUGGAGCGGGUCUUUGAGCUGGGCGGGCCGGACCUGACUCUUGGAGGAAAUGUAGAAGCUUUCAGAUUGUGGGCUGUCCUAGUGGGUCUAGCCUUACACCGAGGCGAAAAAAUCCAGCGAUCAUCAAUAGUUAUUUAAUUUGAAAAGAUAAAUACAUAAAUUAAAAAAAAAUCAUAUUUAUAUUAUUGUCGAGUUGAUAUUAAAAAUAUUGAGAUAUUUUAAUUUUAAAUAGAUAUAAUUUCUACAAUCUUUUAUAUUUUUUUAUUUUUUAUUUCUCACGAUAAUACAAAGUGAGUUCAUAUCUAUUCACUUAUGAAAUACUCUUAUUUUGGACCAAUUACAUAAAUUAAUUUAAAUUAAUUUUAAUCGAAUUUAUUAUAAAUUUAAAUAUUACUAAUAUAAAUUAAAUUUAAAUUAUUUAAAUUUAAAUUAUUUAAAUUUAAAUUUAAAUAAUUUAACUUUUACAUAUAUCAAACCCUUUUAUAUCUCUAAAUUUUGAUUUAAAAUUUUUUUUCUCUUAAAAAAUGUUAUGCCUUUGUGGAUCCCAAUUUAUUAGGAAGUAAUCAUAUAGUUAGCAACAUUGGAGUUUGUAACUAAUAAGUGAUCUAUGUAUUAUUAAAAUUUGGAAAGAUAUAUGUUUGCUUAAAUAUAAACCAACUCAAAUAAAAAUUAAUAAAAUAAAAUAAAUUCUUACACAACUAAUACAUGGAUAUAUAAAUAAUAAAUUAAUUUAAAUUAAAAUAAAUUUUAUAUUUAAUUAUAUCCUAUUAAUUGAAUGUAUUAUUACAUGUGCUUAUAAGAGAUUUCUCCAGCCCAAACCUCUCGUCAAUGUAUCUGCGUGUUUUAAUUCAAGAGGAACAGAUUAUGUUUGAACAAUUUUAAUUUCAAUUUGAUAAAAAAAAAUAAAGAAUGUCUAUUGAGCUAUUAAAACAUGCUGAUGAAUAGGGUUGGUUUUAAACUUAAACCUUUAUUUGAUGGAAAUAAUUUUAUAAAAAAAUAUUAAAAUAAUUUUUUUAUUAUAAUUUUAUUUGUAUAUAGGAUGAAAAUUUUUUAAUUUAAAAAAUUAUAAAAAAUAAUUAAAUUAAAAAUUUCUAUUUCAAACUGUGUAGACAAUAUUGAUAAGAUGAAUAAUAAUUAUUUUAUUUUACUUUCAAAUCAUAAGACUAAUAAAAUAGACCUUCGAGGCUAACUUGAGGAGGACUCGGAUUUCAGUUGUGCUGCUAAUGCGUUGGAAAAAAUUUGAGUUUUGGUUCCAUCAUCCCACGAUUUUAAUAAUAUUCUCUAUCAUUAAAAAUCUUAUUUUCCUUUUUUUUUUAUUAUUAAACUCACCCUUAAAAACAUAUUUUCAAAUUUAUGCUUAAAAUUGUAUUUAAUAUUAAUAUUUUAAAAUUUAAAAAAUAAAAUUUAUAAUGAGUGUUUAACUAUUCUUUUGCUACAUAUACAAAUGUCAGAACACUUUUUCACGCCAAACGACCAUUCAAUUUCUCCGGCGUGCAUGCUGAUAAAGAUGUGAGAUGGCUAAGCAUGCUUUCUUGCCUCUGUCAUGUCACCGGAUCAGACUUUUUUUAAAUGGGUCUGCACGUGUAAUCAGUCCAACCUGUUUCAUAUCACUAAAUUAAAGUGUGCGACAUGGAGUUGGUCUGAAAAAAAGACUGAUGGAUAUUGGAUAUAUGUUUUUUUUGGAGUCUAAAUUUGUUCGGGUAUAAAAAGUUCGGCGGUUAUAAAAAGUAAUUUUAUUUAAAAUCACUGGUGGGCCACCAGAUCACAAUGGUUGGGCCUUAGGCCUUUUUUUCUGUACAGGUGCUCAGGCUUUUGCAUCUACGUCCACCGUCAUUCACUUUCUCAAUAUGCAAAUUCUCAAUUGUGCCCGUUAUGGCGGCAUUUGCUCUGUUUGCCUCCCUGCAAAAACCUAAACCCUGGACACCUCCAUCAGAUCAGAAACCAAAAUGCGUAUUUUCAUUUCCUUCAUUCUCCUCAAAUUCAAUACCAAAACCCUAAAAUCUGUACAAUCCACUCCCUACAACCUCACUUUCAUGAAGUCAAUGUCCCAAUCCACUUCCAUUCCCAGAAAGCAGCAGCGAGUGCGCGACUAUGGCUACGACAAUUACAUGGAAAUCGAGAAGAAAACCCGCAAGGUCCUCAAGUUCCAGUCCCUAAUUCUAUCCCAAAUCAACCAAAAUGUACCAAUUUCUCGCCUUGACAAUCUCGCUCGCCGCCUCGGUUUUAAACUGUACGAGGCCGGCUCUUUUGUAUUGAAAUUCCCCCACGUCUUCGAAGUCUAUGAGCAUCCUGUUCAACGGAUCCUCUACUGUCGUUUAACCCGCAAAGCCCUUCUUCAAAUUCAACAAGAAAAGGAAGCCUUGAUUGCCCAGAUACCCGAUGCUGUCACCCGCUUAAGGAAACUGAUAAUGAUGUCGAACACUGGUCGGCUGCGAUUGGAGCAUGUAAGGAUUGCCAGGUCUGAAUUUGGAUUGCCUGAUGAUUUUGAGUACUCUGUUGUUCUUAAAAAUCCUCAGUAUUUUAGACUAAUAGAUGCUGAUGAAACGAGGAAUAAGUAUAUAGAGAUUGUUGACAGAGACCUCAAAUUAGCUGUUUGCGCAAUAGAGAAAGCUAGGGAGAGAGAGUACAGGGAGAAAGGGAUGAAUGCUGAGGAUAUUCGGUUUUCGUUUAUCAUCAAUUUUCCUCCCGGGUUUAAGAUAGGAAAGUAUUACAGGAUUGCAGUGUGGAAAUGGCAAAGAACACCGUAUUGGUCACCUUAUGAGGAUAUUUCUGGAUAUGAUUUGAGGUCAAUUGAGGCUCAGAAGAGGUUGGAGAAGAGAGCAGUAGCAACUAUUCAUGAAUUGUUGUCAUUGACAGUGGAGAAGAAAAUCACACUGGAGAGGAUAGCACAUUUUAGAAUGGCUAUGAAUUUGCCUAACAAGUUGAAGGAAUUUUGCCUUCAGCAUCAGGGGAUAUUUUAUGUCUCAACAAGAGGGAAUCAUGGUAAGCUGCAUACAGUGUUUCUUAGGGAGGCUUAUAAGAAAGGGGAAUUGGUAGAGCCAAAUGAUUUGUAUUUAGCGAGGAGGAAGUUGGGUGAGUUAGUUUUGAUAAGUCCAAGGAAGGCAAAAGUGGAUGCAGAGCUGGUUAGCUAUAGAAGGGAUAGAGAAGGUGAUGAAUUGGAGCAACUUGGAAGAGACUACGUGGAAAAUAAUUUUGAGGCUAGCAAGGAUGUGCAAGAUGGAGAGUAUGAGGAUGAUUUGAACUCAGACUUGGACAGCGAUGUUGGCACUGAUUAUACUGAUAAUGAUUUUUCAGUAUUACCACGUAUAUAACAGGAGGAUUAGGCUAUGAUUUUGCUUAGCUUGUUUCACUUUCAGCCCUGUACAUGAAUUUUUGUUCUGGGAACAUGUUAUGUGAGUGUGUAUUCAUUUGUAUUAGUUCUAUAUCUAAUGUACUGAUGUUGGAGUUUAUAAGAGCUAUAGGAAAGGAAGUUAAUGGUUAAUGAAGCUAAAGGAAGUUGUUUAACAUUAGUUUCUGAGUAUGGUUAUAUAUGAUAAUAUUUGUCCUGUAGACCUUGUAUUACUCCAUAAUGUUCUGUGGUAGCAAUUUUUGUGCUGCAUUGGCAUGUGGAAAGACCUGCAUGAGUGGAGUUAAGUUCUGUUUCAUACAUGGUGUCUUCAUUUUGUUGGAUUGUUUUUCUUUUUUUUGAUGUCUUUGUUUUUGUGCCUUGUAAUUCCUAUUGCCUUGCUCUCCUCCUGGUGUUGAUUUUUUUGAUCUAAAAUUACUCGUUGGUGAAUUUCUGUUUCCAUUUUCCUAUUUUUUCAAUAUGAUGUGCUUUUAAUUUUGUUAUGCUAAUUUCCUAUAUUCUCUUUAUUAUAACUAGGUAUUGAGGUCAAGGCUGGGGAGCCUGUCAAAGUAACACCUUAUCCUGAAACCAUCAUACAUCUCUCUCAGGUUUGCUUUUAAACUAUUUAAAUUUUUGUGUAUUUGCUGUGUCUUAUGUUCUGAAUUUGCCGUGUUGAUUUGAUUUUCUUACUAAAUUAUUGAGCUCUAGGGGAGUCGAAGAAAGGAAAUGAAUCAGUGCCCCUUUUUCUAAAGAUUGAUUGAUGAUAAGAAGAUUGUAUUGGGAACUCUUUCUCCUGAAAACAUCCCUCAGUUGCCUUUUGAUUUGGUUUUUGAAAGAGAGGUUGAGCUAUCUCACAACUGGAAAAGUGGGAGUGUCUACUUCUGUGGUUAUAAAAGUCAAUUGCCAGAAGAAGAAUAUCCUUCACCAGUUGCAAAUUGUCUUUUUCCUCUUGUAUUGCUUUUGAUAUGUAUUCUAUUAUUCUUUCCUUCAAGCAAUAACGUGUUGCAGAUAUAUUUUCUGUCCAUUGUGGUUUUAAAUUCUGUAUUUUCGCUGAAGCACCCUGGCAUUUUAUCAUCUAGUUUUGAUUUUUCACAUAAUCUUGAAGUUUGAAGUCCUGAUGUUGCUAAGCAUAGGUUUGGAACCUAAACUAAUCUCAAUGAUGCAUUUUAUAAAAAAUUACAACUUAAGGGUUCCUGUCGGUUUUGAAAGAUGUCUAGAAUUCAUUCUUUCUCACUCCUAUUGUCAGUGACAUCUAGAUUUAAUUCCUCUUGUCAAUGAUGCACUAAAUACUGAUGUCAAGAAUUCACUGUUCCUUAUGUUCUACAUUCAUGAAGUGGAUAAGUGUCCUGUGUUAUUUCCUUGACUUUAUUCUGUCUUCCACUGGGAAC